rnacentral:lncRNA from 1 species
GUCGGGCGUGGUCGGACUGGGCCGGUUCGGCCCAUUUUGGCCGGGCCGGUCCGGUUUUCUAUUUUUUUUUCUUUUAGCCCUUUUCUUUUUCUGCUUUUCCCAUUUCUUUGAUAUCUUUUGAGUUUGAACUCCAAAUUGGUCCAAAUAAAUUCCAGACAAUUUGUAAAAUCAUGUCCUACCAUGAUACAACUUUUGGGAGUAGAUUCCUCUCAAAAUAAAAUAUAUAAAAAUACAUUUGCCCUAUAAAUGCCUUUAGGGCUAUAUAUCUGUUUGAAUAAAAUUCUUUUUCAACUCCAAAUAAUUAACCAAAAAUUAUGGGAUAGCUUAUAUAUGCAUUAAACCCUUUUUAUACAUCAACCCUAUCGGUUUGAAAAUCCAAAGGUUACAGCGGUGUAAACAAAAUCUCUUAAAGCCUUUUGUGGUUCAAAAUUUGAAUUCAAACAUGCAAUUGUGGCAUGAUGCUCAUGGAUGCAAUGCACAUGUAAAAGUUUGAAAUUUUGGGAUGUUACAUCUUUGCAGGAUGGCUCGACAGACCCGAUGCCGGCGAGGGGCCGGGAACUCCGUUC